CCCGCUGGCCGCUGAAACUUCACAUUACGCCACCAAACUAGCCAACGGGCGGCUCUCCCCCUCCCCCUCCCCCCUCCCAUGACUGGCACUUGCAACGGAGUCGUGGCCAGACAUUUAAGAAGUGACUUGACACCUGGGCCCGGCUACCUGGAAAUCUAAAACAAAAACAGAAACACCCCUGUGUUAUUUUUCCUUCCAUCAGGAAGUCGGCAUUCCCCCUUAAAAAAAAAAAAAAAAAAAAAAAACAAAAAACAAAAAAACGUGAAAGCACGUCUCCCACGGGAUCCCAGCAGGUAAAUAGCACCAGAGCGUCCCCUAAAGCGAUUCUACAGACCCCGGGGACCCGCUGCGCGUCCCCCCGCCCCCGCUGGCUUCUCCGGCUCCGGAGGAAGGAUCGGGAAGUCGGGCGGACCCGGAGGAACACCACCUCCUACGUGCAUUUCGUCUCCCUGCCCCGGCGAGCUGGUAUGAUUUGAACCACCCCGCGUAGCCCAGGAGUGGAAAUGAAUUGUCAAGGAGGCUCAUCCGUGCCUCAGAAAACUACUGAGACGAUGGGGCUGAUCCUGCUCCCAUCAUCGGCUGAGAUCCUGGGUGAGGGAGCCCUUGUGAACUCCCCGCCCCUCAGUUUAUCUCCUGAGCCUCACCUCCCUGUGUUGCCAGUCACAGCUUUGACGUUGCCCCCAUCACAGCCAGCUUGCCACACUUGGGGUCCGUGCCCAGGACAGGGACACACUCAGGAGUUCUAGGAAAUGAGAAUCUCUGCUGUUCUAUCAUUUCCCAUUUCCUUUACUAUUAAGGAUUUAUAGAUAUAUAUGAGAGAGAGAGAGAGAGAGAGAGAGAGCCCAAGCCAGGGGAGAGGCAGAGGGAGAAGGCGAG